rnacentral:rRNA from 1 species
AAAUUGAAACAUCUUAGUAAAAUUUAAAAAAAAUCAAACGAUAGUUUAUUACUAGUGGUGAAUGAACAUAAAUAAAAAAGUAUAUUUUUUAAUGCUAGUUUUUAACUGGUUAAUUAUUUAUCUUCAUACAAAAGUCAACACUAUUUUAACUACUACAAAUUUUAACAGUUAAAGAUUUAAAGCUUAAAAUAACUACUAUUGUACAGAAAAAAAUCUUUCUUUAUGUAAACUAAUAUUCUGAGCGAUAGUUAACGAGUAUUGUGAAAAAAAGACUUUAUAGGACCUUUCCUAAGUUGUAAUCUAUUUACACGACUAAACUUGAAUGCAACAAAAUAUGCAAAGCAAAUUUAAUUUGUACUGCCCUUCCUUUUGCAUAAUGAGCUUACGAGUUAAAAACGUACGCAAAUUUAAAUUUAUACUAUUAAAAUAAAAGAGUCUCCGUUUUUAAACCCGAAACUUUGUGAUCUAAAAAAAAGCAAGCUUCUUAACUAGAAAGGCUGAAGCAGUAUGUGAAGCAAAACAUUUGUAUGAUUUUUUUUUAGGGGUGAAAGUCCAAUCAAACAAAGCAAUAGCUGGUUGUUUACGAAAUCUAUUUAAGUAGAGCCGUGUAUUUAAUAACUUAUUGGUAAAGCUCUUACUUUAAAAACUAAAACUACAAACAAUUUUUUAUAUUUUUACACGAGUCAGACUAACUGCGCUAAGGUUUUUAGUCAAACGGUAAAAAGUCCUUCUCGUUAAAUUUAAGGUUCUUAAACUAUUUUUAAGAAGAAAACUAUUAAUUAAAAAAUGCUUUUACUAUGUAAAGUAAGCUCAGAAGCAGCUAUCUUUUAGAAAAAGCGUUAUAGCUUUACAAUCUUUUAAAAAAGUGUUAGUUUAAGAUAUUGAUUUUAAAAAUAUACCGAGUAUACGAAUUUUAUUUACAAUAUAAAAUAGUAGUAAAACUGCCUUAUUUUAACACUUUUCAAGGGAAAAACCAUAAGAGUUAUUGUAAGUCUAAAAAUGUAAGCAUUAGUAGCACAAAUUAUGUUAAAAUAAUAAUCAUACUAUUUAAAAAGGUUUUCAUCUCUAUACUGUCUAAAGAAGAGUAACUCGGCCUUUAAAAAAAUGAUGCAAAUCGUAUUUAAAAAGAAGCUUA